UUGCAAGUGAAGUUUCUUUGCCGGGUGGGAAAACAGAGGAGGGGGACAAGGACGAUGGGGACACGGCGACGAGGGAGGCGAAAGAGGAGAUUGGUUUGGAUCCUAAGCUAGAAAAUAACUUCAAUGAGGAGCGAACUUGAAGCUGAGCUGACAGGUUUGCAGCUUCAGCAUGAAGAUGAGUGUGAGAAGAUGCAGGAUGAAUUGGAUCUUCAAAAGUCUAAAGAGGAGAAGCAGAGGGCAUUACUGCAAAUGCAGUGGAGAGUUUUGGUAAUAAGCCACAAGAGGACCAAGAAGUGAAUUCAAAGAAGGGAGGGGAAGUGAGACAGAGAGGGGGAGUUCAUGGUAAUGGUGGAGGAUGCGCAAGAUAGCAAGAGCCCUCUGAAGGAGGCGCAUGAUAUCCAGUCCCAGAUUAAGAGUGCUAUGCAGUCACGCGUCCCUUGCUUCAAAGAACUAUCUGAGUA